GGGUCAGUAGGUUGGUCGUGCCACCGGUACGUACUGGUCUCACUGAUUCCUCCCUCCUGAAGAACCGUAAUGCCAUUAAUUUGGUGUUGCGGGGAAACAGGACUGUUACUUUGAAAAAAUUAGAGUGUUUAAUGCAAGCUAACGCUUGAAUACAUUAGCAUGGAAUAAUGAAAUAGGACGAUCGAUCCUAUUUUGUUGGUUUCUAGGAUUGACGUA
rnacentral:rRNA from 1 species